AUGCUGGAGGCUCUGCUGGGCAGCUGGGGAUUAUGGGCAUUGAGGGCUUGGCCUGGGAGUCAACCAUUAGUCAUGUCCCUGUGGUCUUCUGCAGUCAGUCUAUCACUCGUUCUCUCUGUUGUCAUGUAUUUUCCAGAAUCUUGCUUUGGGAGGAAAGGAUCUUGCUUCAGGAGCCUGAGGAUAAGUUUGUCCUCUGCGAGCUUGGCUAGACUAAUCCCCUGGUGGCCGCACAACAGGGUGCACCCAGCCACUGAGCCAGAUGAAGCAACGCACGACGAUGUUGUGGAGGCCGGUGGGAGUGAGAAGACCGAGGAGGAGGCCCAGGCUGUGACCAAGGAGGAGGAGGCGGGCCCGGCCCCUGAGAAGGGGGCAGAGGAGGCCGCAGCCGUUGGCGAGGCAGAGGAGGAGGCGGGCCCAGGCAGUGACAAUGACAAGACGUCCCCAGCCAGGGCUGGGGCUGAGCAGGAAGAUGAAUCUGCCCCCAAGGUGGACGGGACGGACGGUGAAAGCUCGUGGAGCACUGUGAGUCUGUGUGGCAGCGUCCACGAUGAAGAUGACACAGGUAGGAACAGCUCUCGGGUAGGGGCCAAUGGGAGAGGGUUCCCUGGACACUUGGGUUACGCCUGCUGCUUGGGGUGUGGGGCAGGUGAGUCUGAAAUCUAACAACAGAAAGAAAUUGGUGUAAAGAUGUUCAGCGCCUGUUUUAAGAGGGAGAGGGAGCAGAUGAAGAGGUGCCGGAAUGUUGGCAUCUGUGCUCACAUUGGGUCGAAGGGUCUCAGUCCCUGGAGCCGAGGGAAGGUGUGGGCACCUGGAGGAAAAACCAGGGUGAUGCUCCGUGACCCGCAGUCACCUCAGGGACGGGGGAGAAGCGGGAGGGCCGCUGUUUGUACGUCCUUGAUUCCCCGUGGUGUGUUUCUGCAGACUCGGUGGUGGAGAGCAGCAACAGCCACCAGGACGAGGAGGCUGCAGGUAGGGAAGAGCACGCAGCUGGGAUCCAGUGGGAGAGGGUUCCUGGGAGCACCUGGGUUGCACCUGCUGCCGGGCGAGGGAGGAAGGGGGAUGGGACUUGGCGGGUGGGUGGGUGGCCUAAUGAGUGGAAGCCUGGUGUGGCGUUUUCCCCUCUGAAAUUGAUCACACGAAGAAGACUUGGGUGCCUGGUCUUUGUUGUGCUGUGUGUGUCUUCCUGUCUCCUUCCUUGGAGAGGGAAAAUGGAUUUUCCCUCCCAAGGCUGCUCCUUCCAGCUCUUGGCUCUGGCCACUGUGCCAGCUUGCUUUGUGACUCGCACCCUGAGGGUCCUGUGCACAAGAGCUGUUGACUUAGUUUCCUUUAGUGACCUUGAUGGACCUGACGGGGUGGGACGCCAACCUCUCCUAGGCCCCCGACCCUGGAGACGAAGUUGGUCUAGUGAGUGUCAGGUGGUGGGUGAGAAGGCAGCUCUCUCCCUCUGCACGUUCAGGAUUUCUGGGCUCCCUGACCUGUUGUGUCCUCACGGUGUGUCCUCAGGGAAGCGGCACUACCAGAGUUGGAUGAGUUACAGGAGUUGUCCUCUGAGUUCCUGUUGUAGCUCAGCGGUUAAUGGAUGCACCUUGGAACCAUGAGAUUGCGGGUUCGAUCCCCGGCCUCACUCAGUGUGGUGAGGAUCCAGGGUUGUUGUGAGCUGUGGUGUUGGUCACAGAUGCGGCUGGAUCCCACGUUGCUGUGGCUGUGGUUUGGGCUGGCAGCUGCAGCUCCGAUUGGCUCCCUAGUCUCGGAACCUCCAUAUGCUGCAAGAGUGGCCCUAGAAAAGGGAAAAAGGCAAACAUGCAAUACUGUAAAAUAAAGGAGAUGUCGUGUGGGGUUGCUGCGUAGGA
rnacentral:lncRNA from 1 species